rnacentral:tRNA from 1 species
GCCGCCUUAGCUCAGUGGUAGAGCAACGGUUUUGUAAACCGUCGGUCCAGAGUUCAAAUCUCUGAGGCGGCU